rnacentral:rRNA from 1 species
UACGGAGGUGGCGAGCGUUGUUCGGAAUUACUGGGCGUAAAGGGCGCGUAGGCGGGGAGGUAAGUCGGGUGUGAAAUCCCUCGGCCCAACCGAGGAACUGCGCCCGCGACUGCCUUUCUUGAGUCCCGGAGAGGAAGGUGGAAUUCCCGGUGUAGCGGUGAAAUGUGUAGAGAUCGGGAGGAACACCGGUGGCGAAGGCGGCCUUCUGGACGGUGACUGACGCUGAGGCGCGAAAGCGUGGGGAGCAAACGGG